rnacentral:rRNA from 1 species
GUGGGGAAUCUUGCGCAAUGGGCGAAAGCCUGACGCAGCCAUGCCGCGUGAAUGAUGAAGGUCUUAGGAUUGUAAAAUUCUUUCACCGGGGACGAUAAUGACGGUACCCGGAGAAGAAGCCCCGGCUAACUUCGUGCCAGCAGCCGCGGUAAUACGAAGGGGGCUAGCGUUGCUCGGAAUUACUGGGCGUAAAGGGCGCGUAGGCGGACAGUUUAGUCAGAGGUGAAAGCCCAGGGCUCAACCUUGGAAUUGCCUUUGAUACUGGCUGUCUUGAGUACGGGAGAGGUGAGUGGAACUCCGAGUGUAGAGGUGAAAUUCGUAGAUAUUCGGAGGAACACCAGUGGCGAAGGCGGCUUACUGGUCCAUUACUGACGCUGAGGUGCGAAAGCGUGGGGAGCAAACAGGAUUAGAAACCCCGGUAGUCC